CUAGUAUGUUCUUUUUGAACUUUGGAUCGAUUUUUAGGGUGCAAAACACUUCUUGCAAGCUCGUCUAUUCUCUCUCCACCCAUUUCUCCAUUUAGGGCAUAAUGUGUUGCUAAUCUGAGCCUAUUGAGAAAUCGAUUCCGAUCCAUUCCUAUCAAUGUUGCGAUUAAGAGCUUUCCAGCUGACGAAUGACAAGAUCGUCAAGAUUCAGUUGCAUCCCACGCAUCCAUGGCUCGUCACCAUCGAUGCCUCUGAUCACGUCUCUGUUUGGAAUUGGGAACAACGCUAGGUGAUUUACAAAGGGUCAAUGCAAUCAAACCUUGAAUGUUUCCUCCAUGGUACAACCCUAGUGCUCCAACCCCAGUUCUUGCCCAAGUUUCGUGUUU